GUGCCAGCCGCCGCGGUAAUACGUAGGGUGCGAGCGUUAAUCGGAAUUACUGGGCGUAAAGCGUGCGCAGGCGGUCUGUUAAGACCGAUGUGAAAUCCCCGGGCUUAACCUGGGAACUGCAUUGGUGACUGGCAGGCUUUGAGUGUGGCAGAGGGAGGUAGAAUUCCACGUGUAGCAGUGAAAUGCGUAGAGAUGUGGAGGAAUACCGAUGGCGAAGGCAGCCUCCUGGGCCAACACUGACGCUCAUGCACGAAAGCGUGGGGAGCAAACAGGAUUAGAAACCCCCGUAGUCC
rnacentral:rRNA from 1 species